GACGUAGGGCGCGAGCGUUAUCCGGAUUCACUGGGUUUAAAGGGUGCGUAGGUGGGCAGGUAAGUCAGUGGUGAAAUCUCCGGGCUUAACUCGGAAACUGCCAUUGAUACUAUCUGUCUUGAAUACCGUGGAGGUUAGCGGAAUAUGUCAUGUAGCGGUGAAAUGCUUAGAUAUGACAUAGAACACCAAUUGCGAAGGCAGCUGGCUACACGAAUAUUGACACUGAUGCACGAAAGCGUGGGGAUCAAACAGG
rnacentral:rRNA from 1 species